rnacentral:rRNA from 1 species
GAUGAACGCUGGCGGCGUGCCUAACACAUGCAAGUCGAGCGAGGGUUUGCUCAGUAUUGAGUAUUCUAAGUCUAGAAUGUUCAAUUCUGAGCAAAACCAAGCGGCGGACGGGUGAGUAACGCGUGGGUAACCUGCCCUAUACACAUGGAUAACGUACUGAAAAGUUUACUAAUACAUGAUAAUAUAUAUUUGCGGCAUCGCAGAUAUAUCAAAGUGUUAGCGGUAUAGGAUGGACCCGCGUCUGAUUAGCUAGUUGGUGAGAUAACUGCCCACCAAGGCGACGAUCAGUAGCCGACCUGAGAGGGUGAUCGGCCACAUUGGAACUGAGACACGGUCCAAACUCCUACGGGAGGCAGCAGUGGGGAAUAUUGCACAAUGGGCGAAAGCCUGAUGCAGCAACGCCGCGUGAACGAUGAAGGUCUUCGGAUCGUAAAGUUCUGUUGCAGGGGAAGAUAAUGACGGUACUCUGUGAGGAAGCCCCGGCUAACUACGUGCCAGCAGCCGCGGUAAUACGUAGGGGGCUAGCGUUAUCCGGAUUUACUGGGCGUAAAGGGUGCGUAGGUGGUCCUUCAAGUCGGUGGUUAAAGGCUACGGCUCAACCGUAGUAAGCCGCCGAAACUGGAGGACUUGAGUGCAGGAGAGGAAAAGUGGAAUUCCCAGUGUAGCGGUGAAAUGCGUAGAUAUUGGGAGGGAACACCAGUAGCGAAGGCGGCUUUCUGGACUGCAACUGACACUGAGGCACGAAAGCGUGGGUAGCAAACAGG